CUUCACAUCAUCACAAACCGUGUUUCUCCAGAGAUGUCUGUAUCGCGGUGCACAUGUGGAGCGUGGCGGGCAGAAACAGAAGAACGAUGCCCUCGAGUCAGGCGCACAGAUACACUCUGUUUCAUUCUAAAGAUUAGCAGGCCUUCAACUGCACAGAAAGAAGCAAGGAGUCAAAGAGGAGUCUAAUUAAGGGUAUGGGGAUCCUGAAUACUCAUCUCCGAAGCAGAAAAAUGC
rnacentral:lncRNA from 1 species